rnacentral:rRNA from 1 species
GACGAACGCUGGCGGCGUGCCUAAUACAUGCAAGUCGAGCGCUGAAGGAUGGUACUUGUACCCACUGGAUGAGCAGCGGACGGGUGAGUAACGCGUGGGGAAUCUGCCUUUGAGCGGGGGACAACAUUUGGAAACGAAUGCUAAUACCGCAUAAAAACUUUAAACACAAGUUUUAAGUUUGAAAGAUGCAAUUGCCUCACUAAAAGAUGAUCCCGCGUUGUAAUAGCUAGUUGGUGAGGUAAAGGCUCACCAAGGCGAAGAUACCUAGCCGACCUGAGAGGGUGGUCGGCCCCAAUGGGAAUGGGAACAGGCCCAAGCUCCCACGGGGGGCAGGAGUAGGGGAUCUUUGGCCAUGGACGGAAGUCCGACCGAGCAACGCCCCGGGAGUUGAGAAAGUUUUCCGAUCGUAAAACUCCGUUUGUAGGGAAGAACGAUGGUGAGAGUGGAAAGCUCAUCAAGUGACGGUAACUACACAGAAAGGGACGGCUAACUACGUG